rnacentral:tRNA from 1 species
AUUUUAGUAGCUUAUAUUUAGAGCAUUAUAUUGAAGAUAUAAUUGAGGAACUUUCCCUAAAAUA